GAUGUCCACUGAUCCAUGCAGCGGUAUGAUGAACAGUGCGGCGAGCGGAAUAAUGCGCGUGCUGUGCAUCAGUGCGCUGCAGGGGAGCUGAACGGGGGAGUGGCCGCGUUCUCAGUCUGAGUGCUGCGGGACCAGCUUGGACUCCUCAGGAGGAAGAGCUGCACGUGGAGGAUGAGGGAUUUGAAGAUGUGGACGACAGGGACCCAACGGCCCAUCAUCGUGCAGCACCAUCAGACCCCCACCAGUCCGGCUUCAGACCUGGCCACUCGACAGAGACUGCACUCC